UACGAAGGGGGCUAGCGUUGCUCGGAAUCACUGGGCGUAAAGCGCACGUAGGCGGCUUUUUAAGUCAGAGGUGAAAUCCUGGAGCUUAACUCCAGAACUGCCUUUGAUACUGGAGAGCUUGAGUCCGGGAGAGGUGAGUGGAACUGCGAGUGUAGAGGUGAAAUUCGUAGAUAUUCGCAAGAACACCAGUGGCGAAGGCAGCUCACUGGCCCGGUACUGACGCUGAGGUGCGAAAGCGUGGGGAGCAAACAGGG
rnacentral:rRNA from 1 species